CAGUAACGGUUGAUGAUGAAGAACCUCCUCAAAAGAAGCAGAAGGAAGCACUUUCAGCUGCAAAAAAAGAAAGCAGCAGUGAGGAUGAAGAUGACAGUAGUGAGGAAAGUUCGGAUGAUGAGCCAACAAAAGUUGAAGAAAAAAA